CUUUCUUGCUCAUAGGUGUUUGGGUUCUCCUUUUCCCCCAUCUCGUUCUGCAUUCUCCUCCAUCCGUCCCCGAAACUCACAUCGUGGCAAAGUUCGUGCAUGAGCUCACUACACUCCACUUUAGAAUUCUUAUUUGUCUAUGUGAGUUCUUUUGUCUACAGAUAUUAUAUUAUUUCCAUUUUUUGCUUGGUCGGGGCUAUGGCGGAGUUGUCCCAAGCCAAUGUUCAUGCGCCGAGGCCACUACAAGAACGGAGGACUUUAUUGAAGUGGUUGGCCUUCUUUCAAAAUCUUCCUCCAGAUCCUUAGGGAAAUACCUUCAAUGGCACAGGUUCCUUUACUCUUUUCUUCAUCCUAGUCCUCUUUUGCCUCAUUCAAGCCCUUACCUAUCGUUGAACUUCCCCAUCAAGAUUUGCUUCCAUCCCUUUGAACAUUAGCAACUAAGAUGACAGCGACCUUAAUUAGCAGAUCGAGAAGCUUACGGAAGGCUACUAACAGCACUGAUAUGUGAAUACCUAGGGUGGGCACAAUUGGGUCACACCCUAAAAGUUUUUUUGCCUGAAUGUAAUUUGGAAAAAGAGUUUUGGAAAAUUGAGUUAAAGGAUUUCUGUAACAAGAAUGGAUAUGAUUUGAACACGAAUGGAGAGAAUGGUCCUUUGCUUCUAGAUGUUCUUGAAUGAUACUUGAAAUUUGAGGUUUGAUGCCCUAGAUACCAUCCUCAAUAUCUAUUCUGCUACUAUAAUUCAAAAUAUGUUUUUGAGGGUAACUUUCUAUUCAAAAGGGAUCAAGGGGGGGAUGUACAUAAAGGUCAUACAGAGGAAACAAAAGACCAUAAUCAAUUAUAAAGUUGAAGUAUUAACACUAUACAAAAAGAUUUUGUCCACCUUUGACUUUGAAGGGCGACCAGCUAAAGAGUUCAUCUUUCUUGGAAUCCAUCUAAAAGAACAUGAGGCGUCAAAAGAGAUCUCCUGGAUCUCAUUCAAUAGAUGAUCAAAUCUCCAAGGCCCCUGAUCAUGGUUGGAACCCCAAUCAAUUAGAGAGAGAAGCCUUUAUAAUGGUGAGUCUCCCUCUUUUAAAGGAAAUUGUUAACGUGGAGGGUAUUGAAGAUAUAUACUUUGGAUUUUGAUGAAGACUUUUGGACAUCAUAAAGCAAAAUGAUUUUUUUGUUAUAUUUUUGUUGGUUUUUAGACUAUCCAUUAUGGACCUAUGAUCUGAAAGUGACAAUUG